GAAGAGGGCUGUGGAGGGACAGGACCAGCUGAGGACGUGGGUGGUCAGACUCCUAGAUUAACAAAGCCUACAGAUGCCUGUUGACAGAAGGGAAGGAGACAGGUUCUCACUGAUAGGAAGACAGCAGCAAUGCAGGUACGACUCAUGUGUCCAUUUCCUGUCAUCUGCAGGUGCUUGGUGAGACAGUGUCACCGUUCUGGGAAGAGCUAGUCUGGGAGAAGGAGUCAGGAUACUAGACCUGUCUGUGAGGCACUGGAUGACUCCAGAAGCUCAAGGAAGCUCAUGGUGAAGCCCCGAUUUGAAAUGGGACUUUGAAGAGGAAGCUCUAGGCCAGCAUGGCUCACAAGGAAGCUGGGUGGCGUUUCUCCUCCUCUCCCACCAUUGUGAAGGAUCUUCUUGCUGCUAGAGUGC